GCUCAGUAACGCGUAGCUAACCUACUCUUAAGUCAGGGAUAUUCUCGGGAAACUGAGGUUAAUACCUGAUAGAAGAUUUACCCUGGAAAGAUUUAUCUCUCAAACUCGUGCCUAAGGAUGAGGCUGCGGCGGAUUAGGUUGUUGGCGGGGUAAUGGCCCACCAAGCCGAUGAUCCGUAAGGGCUCUUAGCGGAGAGGCCCUGAGAGGGAAUCUGAGACACUAUUCCCAGCCCCACGGGGUGCAGCAGUUAGGAAUAAUCUACAAUGCACGCAAGUGUGAUAGUUUGAGCCAGAGUGCUUUUCUAUUUGAAAAGCUUUUGCUGAAUGUAAAAAGUUUGGCGAAUAAGGACUGGGUAAGACUAGUGCCAGCCCGCCGCGGUAAUACUAGCGGUCCAAGUCGGCAGCCAUUUUUAUUGGGUCUAAAACAUCCCGUAGCUUGUUUGAUAAGUUUCCUGUGAAAUUUCGUGUCUUAAACGCGAAGCGGGCAAGAAGUACUUAUCAAGCUAGGAGACUGGGGAGACGUAAGGAGUACGUUCGAAGUAACGGUAAAAUGGGUUAAUCUCGGACCGACUAACACCGCGAGGCACCUACGAAAACAGUUCUGACGUAAGAUGAAGGCUAGGGCGCAAACGGAUUAAUACCGUGUGUCCUAGCAUAA
rnacentral:rRNA from 1 species